rnacentral:rRNA from 1 species
UACGUAGGGGGCAAGCGUUGUCCGGAAUUAUUGGGCGUAAAGCGCGCGCAGGCGGUUCCUUAAGUCUGGUGUGAAAGCCCACGGCUCAACCGUGGAGGGUCAUUGGAAACUGGGGAACUUGAGUGCAGAAGAGGAAAGUGGAAUUCCAAGUGUAGCGGCGAAAUGCGUAGAGAUUUGGAGGAACACCAGUGGCGAAGGCGACUUUCUGGUCUGUAACUGACACUGAGGCGCGAAAGCGUGGGGAGCGAACAGG